ACUCCUACGGGAGGCAGCAGUGGGGAAUUUUGGACAAUGGGCGAAAGCCUGAUCCAGCCAUGCCGCGUGCAGGAUGAAGGCCUUCGGGUUGUAAACUGCUUUUGUACGGAACGAAACGGCCUUUUCUAAUAAAGAGGGCUAAUGACGGUACCGUAAGAAUAAGCACCGGCUAACUACGUGCCAGCAGCCGCGGUAAUACGUAGGGUGCAAGCGUUAAUCGGAAUUACUGGGCGUAAAGCGUGCGCAGGCGGUUAUGUAAGACAGUUGUGAAAUCCCCGGGCUCAACCUGGGAACUGCAUCUGUGACUGCAUAGCUAGAGUACGGUAGAGGGGGAUGGAAUUCCGCGUGUAGCAGUGAAAUGCGUAGAUAUGCGGAGGAACACCGAUGGCGAAGGCAAUCCCCUGGACCUGUACUGACGCUCAUGCACGAAAGCGUGGGGAGCAAACAGGAUUAGAUACCCGAGUAGUCCC
rnacentral:rRNA from 1 species